UACAGAGGUCCCAAGCGUUGUUCGGAUUCAUUGGGCGUAAAGGGUGCGUAGGCGGCGCGGUAAGUCGGGUGUGAAAUCUCGGAGCUUAACUCCGAAACUGCAUUCGAUACUGCCGUGCUUGAGGACUGGAGAGGAGACUGGAAUUUACGGUGUAGCGGUGAAAUGCGUAGAUAUCUGCAGGAACACCCGUGGCGAAAGCGGCGAGCUGGACCACUACUGACGCUGAAGAACGAAAGCUAGGGGAGCAAACAGG
rnacentral:rRNA from 1 species